UACGGAGGGGGCUAGCGUUGUUCGGAAUUACUGGGCGUAAAGCGCACGUAGGCGGCUUUGUAAGUUAGAGGUGAAAGCCCGGGGCUCAACUCCGGAAUUGCCUUUAAGACUGCAUCGCUAGAAUUGUGGAGAGGUGAGUGGAAUUCCGAGUGUAGAGGUGAAAUUCGUAGAUAUUCGGAAGAACACCAGUGGCGAAGGCGACUCACUGGACACAUAUUGACGCUGAGGUGCGAAAGCGUGGGGGAGCAAACAGG
rnacentral:rRNA from 1 species